CGUAACAAGGUUUCCGUAGGUGAACCUGCGGAANGAUCAUUACCUAGAGUUUGUAGACUUCGGUCUGCUACCUCUUACCCAUGUCUUUUGAGUACCUUCGUUUCCUCGGCGGGUCCGCCCGCCGAUUGGACAACAUUCAAACCCUUUGCAGUUGCAAUCAGCGUCUGAAAAAACAUAAUAGUUACAACUUUCAACAACGGAUCUCUUGGUUCUGGCAUCGAUGAAGAACGCAGCGAAAUGCGAUAAGUAGUGUGAAUUGCAGAAUUCAGUGAAUCAUCGAAUCUUUGAACGCACAUUGCGCCCCUUGGUAUUCCAUGGGGCAUGCCUGUUCGAGCGUCAUUUGUACCUUCAAGCUCUGCUUGGUGUUGGGUGUUUGUCUCGCCUCUGCGUGUAGACUCGCCUUAAAACAAUUGGCAGCCGGCGUAUUGAUUUCGGAGCGCAGUACAUCUCGCGCUUUGCACUCAUAACGACGACGUCCAAAAGUACGUUUUUACACUCUUGACCUCGGAUCAGGUAGGGAUACCCGCUGAACUUAAGCAUAUCA
rnacentral:rRNA from 1 species